rnacentral:ncRNA from 2 species
UCGGAUAUGCGUAACUGGCGUAACGUGGAGUUCCACGAGGAAGCGCAUAUUGUCAUGCCGUACGCCUGGGCGGAGUAU